rnacentral:tRNA from 1 species
GCCUUCGCGGUGUAGUGGUCAGCACGCUCGACGCGUAACCGAGAGGUCCGUGGUUCGAUUCCCGGCGAAGACG